CAAAACUGGUCACCCAUCUGCCUGCAGCUACAGCAGCUGCUUUAUUUGCUCAGCAGCCUAGUUCCUGGGAUAACUGUUUAUUUCUGACUCUAGAAUGCAAGCUGAAUAAGAACUGCUGUCAAAAUGGGGGAACUGCUUCCAGGGGACUUUCUGCAUGUGUCCAAAGUAUUUUAGCGGCAGACACUGUGAACAUGCCAGAUAUGGCACUGUGAGACAAGGGGAGUGGACCAUGGACAGCUGCCUGCUCUGCCAGUGUGUGCAUAGAGUCUUUUCACUGUUAUCCUUGUGCCUGAGAGAUGGCUGUGCUUUUCUGGCAAGCAAAAGAAGGGAACAAAACAGCCUUACAGAGAAAACAGUGCAAAUAUGAAGAUCCAGGUAGCUAUUAUCUCCAGACCUGACUGAUUAUCUGCACUUGGUGAGAGGACUGCAGGACAAGACAACACUCACCUUCCCUACAGCUGCCGGAAUGGAAGGGCUACAGUACUAGAGAGCUGGCAUGAAUCCUGGAAACUAAAAGAAAGGCAAAAAACCACAUGUGUCUCUGCAUCUUCAAAUGGCUUUCUUACAUUCAGC
rnacentral:lncRNA from 1 species